UACGUAGGGUGCAAGCGUUAAUCGGAAUUACUGGGCGUAAAGCGUGCGCAGGCGGUUUUGUAAGUCUGACGUGAAAUCCCCGGGCUCAACCUGGGAAUUGCAUUGGAGACUGCAAGGCUAGAAUCUGGCAGAGGGGGGAAGAAUUCCACGUGUAGCAGUGAAAUGCGUAGAGAUGUGGAGGAACACCGAUGGCGAAGGCAGCCCCCUGGGUCAAGAUUGACGCUCAUGCACGAAAGCGUGGGGAGCAAACAGG
rnacentral:rRNA from 1 species